UUAACUUAGCUAGCUAGCUAGUCUGGAGAGCGUUUUUAGCGGGUAAAUUGCUAACGUGGGGGCUCAGUGUGUGGAUAAGGACUGGGGAUAAUAUAGUUAGCUAACCUUGCUAGUUUUGUUUUGUAUUUGUUCAAAAUUUAACUUCCCUGUUGACCAUAUUUUUAGAUCCACUUAGCGAUUUAGUUAUUUCACACUGUUUUGAGUUGUGCACUUGUUCAUUUAAAUAUCAAAGAGGAGUUCCAGCGCAUAACUAACCUUACUUUGCAUCUGGAGUCAAAAUUCAUGUUAAAGCUUGACCAGUAUACGUUACACAAAAACUUCUCUAUCUUCAGUGCCAAGGCCGGAGCGUCAGGAAGAAGAAUGCAAGGCAUAAUGAGCUGUUUGGUCAAGGGAGCAGUCACCACUGAGCCUGGUGGAGUAUGUGGGGGGAACAUGGCCUGCUCGCAGAACACUUUGAUGAGGGUGAGGUCAAUAUUUCACAGCACAUCAUGAAGAUCUUCACAGUGAAGGAAGAGGGUGCAACAGAGGAUGAAGGUACUGUCUUUGAGGGUCAAGAGGUACUGGCUGGUCUUGGAAAUGUCCCACAGGCAUGUGCUGCACUUCUGGGGUUCAUAUAUGCCUUGAAUUUGCAGUACCCUAAACCACUGACAUACACAUUGGAAGUGUUUCAGAAGCUUUUUAUGGAACAGGAUGGACUGAAACUUUCUCCCAAGGUGCUGUCUCUUAAAACAACAGCUAUUAAUUAAGCCUUGCUACCUCGAAUAGGCUUGAAGGAGAACGCUGGUGUAAAGUUGACUUGGUGUAAUAAAACAUGAUAAUUUUUUUUUUACUAAAACCUGCCAAUAAAUGCAAAAGUGGUUAAAAGUC